GACGAACGCUGGCGGGCGUGCUUAAUACAUGCAAGUCGACGGAAGUAGCAAUACUUUAGUGGCGGCACGGGUGAGGAACACGUAGAUGAUCUGCCCUUGAGAUCGAGAUAACCCCGGGAAACUGGGGCUAAUACCGGAUAAUGCAUUAUUAUUGGAUUAAUAAUGUUAAAGCGGCGCAAGUCGCACUUGAGGAUGAGUCUGCGACCUAUCAGCUAGUUGGCGGUGUAAUGGACCACCAAGGCAAAGACGGGUAGCUGAUCUGAGAGGAUGAUCAGCCACACUGGGACUGAGACACGGCCCAGACUCCUACGGGAGGCAGCAGUAGGGAAUAUUGCGCAAUGGGCGAAAGCCUGACGCAGCGACGCCGCGUGACCGACGAAGUCCUUCGGGAUGUAAAGGUCUUUUGCCAGGGAAGAAGAUCUGACGGUACCUGGCGAAUAAGCCCCGGCUAACUACGUG
rnacentral:rRNA from 1 species